AUUCUUCAUAUAUUUUGGACAGCAGUUUUUCCAUCAGAUUAUUUUGUAAAUAUUUUCUCCCAGUCUGUGACUUGCUUUUUCCAUUCUCUUAACAGUGUCUUUCACACAACAGAAGUUUUUAAUUUUAAUGAGGCUCAACUUAAUUUUUUUUUCAUUAGUAGAUUGUGCUUUUGGUUUUGUAUCUAAGAAGCCAUCAUUGAACCCAGGAUCCCUCAGAUUUUCUCCUAUUUUAUCUCUUAGGAUUCUUAUGGUUUUGCACCUUACAUUUACGUGUAAGAUUUAUUUUAUAAAGGGUAUAUAACAUGCAUACCUGGAUUUAUUUAUUUUUUUGCAUGUGGUUGUCCAGCUGUUCUAGCACCACUAGUUGGAAAGGCUAUCUUUGCUGUUUUAAAUUGUCUCUAAACCUCCAUGGAAGAUCAGUGGACUGUAUGUAGGCCUGCUUCUGGGCUCCGUAUUCUUUUCCAUGCAUCUAUAUGUGUGUGUUUUCUCUUUUCACCAACUUCACACUAUUUGGGUUACUGUAGCUUAAUGUAAGUCCUGAAGUUGGUAGUGCCAAACCUCAGGGAGUUUUUCUGAACUUCAUCAUGAGAACCUGGUUGAGAUCAUUGUAGUAACACUUGGAAAUGUGUGAGAUUCCCCCUUAGUCUGGUCUUCAAGGUGUUUUUAAUGUUCUAGCCAGGCUACCCUCAGCUUCUAGUAAUCUGUCAAUAUCAUUUAAGUGCUCCUCCCACUUGCUGUCCCCAGUAGCUUCUCUUCCCUGUGAGCUGUGACUCCUUGUGUGUUAGCCUGUGUUUCUCAUUUUUAAGGUGGCAGUUUUCCCUGUGACCUCAAUUCUCUGAUCCACCCUAGAAGGGUUGACUUUCAGUUUGUUCAGCUUUUUUCUAGCUGUGAGGACAAGUGAUGACUGCCUAGCUCUUUCCAUGUUGAAAUAGAAACCUAAAAGUUUGUUUAAAGAAUUACUUGUUAUAAAAGUCCCCCAUUGUUAAUGUACAACUCAAUGAUGUAAGUUGAUUUAUCGAAUUGUGCAGCCAUCAGCAGAGUUCUACUUCAGCAUAUUUUGUCACUUCCCAAAUUCCCUUGAACCUGUUUGUAGUCAUUUCCUA
rnacentral:lncRNA from 1 species